rnacentral:lncRNA from 1 species
AAAUCUAAGAAGAAGCGCCGCAUCACAUCACUUCCAUGCGGCGGCUUACACGCGCAUGCAAAAACCUUCUACCCCAUGAUAACAUCAUCGCAUUAAAUGCUUUUUUGAAUUUUAAAAAUGAUUUAUCUUAUAGAUUAAUAAUUUGAUUGAAGAUUCGUCUUCACCGUUAGGUUCGUUUCGACGAGACCUUUAAAAUAAGAUCCCAUGUUGACAUGUUUC